rnacentral:lncRNA from 1 species
AGGCAUUAUGAUUAUACAUAUAAUACUGGUACAAUUGUACAAUUCAAUUUUUAAUAUAGGUGUCAGUUUUUUUAUUUGUACAGACAGCAAUCAGUUAUGGUGCUUUUGCGGGUAAAAUUUACGAUUUUUGUUUUUAACUGUUUUGCUGUAGUGGGAAAAGAAAGACUACUUAAACUAAAUCUUUUUCAUAAUAAAUAAAUUAUUCACCAUUUCAUUGUAUGAUGAGUUUUCUUUUUUGGUUUAUCUUUGCUAGUAAAAUUGUGAAUUGCCAAAGACAAAAUUUU